CAACAUCUUCCUGGAAGCACCAAGGAGCAGCAAGAUGGUGAGGAUAAUCAGAGAAGAAGGAAACCCAGGAAGGGAAGGCUGCAUUGAGGGCCUCCCCCGGGCUGGGAAGAGCCGUCUUCAAGAAUCCUUUCUUGGCCGUCAGCUCUGAAGGCCACCAUCACUCCGAAACCUCAUCAGCGCGGAAGAGACAGUAAGAGGCCCAGCUGCACCGUGUCAGCCUCCCAGGGCUGGGGGCCAAGGUUAUCAGCGUGGUGUCAAAAGUCUCCUGAAUUUGUAUUAAAGUAAAUCUAGAAUGCUGGAUCCCCAGGCACCUGGAGAAGUCAAGGAAGUUCUCUCUGGAGGAAGGAGCAUCGUGACCAGACGUGCCGUGCAAGAUGGAUGUGUCCCGUUUGACAACUGGCGUCGAGCGCUCCCGAUGAGAGUCGGAGAGCCCUGACGCGUCCGUGCAGCUGCCAGACACCGAGGCCGCCCCAGAAGCACGACCCAGUGGGCUCUGGGGCCCAAGCCUGGGGUUCUGCGGUCAGAACCCGGCUGCUGUCUGCCCCCCUGGAGGGGAAGAGGCUCCCCACCUCUGAGAGGCGGCGUCUUGAUCUCGGCAGCCAUUUUGUGACCAUGAGGAUCAUAGCCACAGACUGAGGAGGACAGAACGGAGGGACCCAAGGAGCCGGGGCUAACUCGGCUGAAGCCCACCUCUGGGCCUUUCCGCGAGACAAAACAAGCCCCUCGCUGGCUUAGCUGGGCUCAGGGCGAGAACUGGUGCCGUAGGAUGUUCUCCGUGUGGAGUUCAGGUGCGGCACGUGGCUGGACGUGGCGGUCUGGACUCCGCAACACUCACUCGUUUGCAGUGAGCGAGGCCUCCUGGGGUGAGGGAAGAGGGCCCUCCACAGCCGCUGGCUGUACUUCAUCUCUACCCUCCUCCUCCUCCCCCUCCUCCGCCACCGAUGCACAUUUCAGCGCCUGGCUUCGUUCCUUACCCACACGGCCGGGCUCCUUCCCA